AUGAAAUCCCUUCAAGUCCUUACCUUCUCAACUGAUAGCUUGGGAUUCACGACAGCAAGCAUGAAAAAUUUGCGCAAUCUUGAAGCCCUCGUCCUCGAUCUCAGUCACAGCUUGUUGGACGAAAACAUUAGAGACACAUUCGAAAGGUUACCACGGUGUUCGCCUAACAAGUUGAAAGAAUUACAUCUCGAGAACAAUAAUAUCACUGGAGUCCUACCAGACUUCAUAGGGGAGUUCAUCAACAUUGUCAUCCUCGAUCUCUCUAGCAACCAUAUAACUGGGCAUGUGCCUCCUGAGAUAGGAAGGUUCAAAAAUUUAACUAGCUUGGACCUAAGCAGUAAUAGACUUGGAGGUGUGAUUACACAAGAACACUUUGUGGCCAUUUGGUGA
rnacentral:rRNA from 1 species